rnacentral:misc_RNA from 1 species
AUUUUUUUUUUUUUUUUUAAAAUUGGGUUUUUAUUUUUAUUUUUGAAGAAGGAAGAGAGAUUGUGAAGAGAAAGAUAUGAUUUGUGCAGAUAGUGAAUUUUGAUUUUUGAAAUUGUGGAUUUGAAUUGGAAAAAUGGUUUUGAGAUAAUAAAGAAAGUUUGUUUUGUUUUUAUCUUUGUUGUUGAGCUAAUUUGGGUUAAGUCUGUCUGAAAAAUGAGAUUAAAAAAUUAGAGAAAUAAUGCUCAAAAAAUUAUAUAAAUAAAAAAUAAAUAGAAUAUUAAAAGUAGAAAUUGAUGAAUAUUUUUGUAAUGAUUUCUCACAUAUUUUAUUUUUAAAAUAUUGAUAUUUGGUAGGAAUCUGAUGAAAAUAUUGCAUUAAAUAAUAUUGAAAGUGGGGGAGGAUUUUCUAUGCUUACUCUUUCUCUAAUUUUUUCUUUUUUUUAUAAAA